UCAGAGGAGAAGGAGGGAGGGGUGCAAACCCUAACCCUCAAGAAACCAUCAAAUUGGGAAGAAAUCUCGAGGAAGAUCGGAUGCAUGAACCUGAAAUGCUGACCAUUUAAGUGUCUCUAACACAAGGAAUCAUGUCAAGACGGAAUCAAGCACGGAAGGCUAACGGGUCAAGAACUGGCGAGGAAACGGAUAUGAACACGGAUGCAUGAGGAGUGAGAACGUCAGAUUCUUGUAGAAUUGAAGCCGAACUUUGAAGCUGAACUCAGAACAAGGGAAUCCGAGAGGAUAGUCGAAUGAAUCAAAGUUUAUGUUGUCAAAUUUUAUAUGAUUUUUAAUUGGAUGAGAUUAUUGUUGUAUGAUGAUUGUCAAUGACUAAUGAUUAAGUUGUAUGUGAUGUCCACAGGUACUACACGGAUUUCUUCUACCACUAUCGAAGAUAAGCGGGCAUAGAUCGAGUCGAAUAGCAAGGAUUGUACGGAAAGAACAGUCACGUAGUUUGAAUUAUGUAUUGCUUUGAAACGUUAAUUCAAUGUGAAUAUUGUAAUCCCUUCUAGGAAAUGUUUAAAUUUUGUAUUUGAGCCUUUAUGUAAGUAAUGUGUCUAACAUAGAAAGAAAUAUUAAGGCUCGUAUUUCCGC